AUUGAACGCUGGCGGCAGGCCUAACACAUGCAAGUCGAACGAGUGGCGGACGGGUGAGUCAUGUCUGGGAAACUGCCUGAUGGAGGGGGAUAACUACUGGAAACGGUAGCUAAUACCGCAUACCAUCAGAUGUGCCCAGAUGGGAUUAGCUUGUUGGUGGGGUAAAGGCUCACCAAGGCAACGAUCCCUAGCUGGUAUGAGAGGAUGACAAGCCACACUGGAAUGGAGACACGGUCCAGACUCCUACGGGAGGCAGCAGUGGGGAAUAUUGCACAAUGUGGGAAAGCCUGAUGCAGCCAUGCCGCGGGUAUGAAGAAGGCCUUCGGGUGGUAAAGUACUUUCAGCGGGGAUGCGUUACCCGCAGAAGAAGCACCGGCUAACUCCGUGCCAGCAGCCGCGGUAAUAC
rnacentral:rRNA from 1 species